rnacentral:rRNA from 1 species
GACGAACGCUGGCGGCGUGCUUAACACAUGCCAGUCGAACGGAAAGGCCCUGCUUUUGUGGGGUGCUCGAGUGGCGAACGGGUGAGUAACACGUGAGUAACCUGCCCUUGACUUUGGGAUAACUUCAGGAAACUGGGGCUAAUACCGGAUAGGAGCUCCUGCUGCAUGGUGGGGGUUGGAAAGUUUCGGCGGUUGGGGAUGGACUCGCGGCUUAUCAGCUUGUUGGUGGGGUAGUGGCUUACCAAGGCUUUGACGGGUAGCCGGCCUGAGAGGGUGACCGGCCACAUUGGGACUGAGAUACGGCCCAGACGCCUACGGGAGGCAGCAGUGGGGAAUGUUGCACAGUGGGCGGAAGCCUGAUGCAGCAACGCCGCGUGCGGGAUGACGGCCUUCGGGUUGUAAACCGCUUGCGCCUGUGACGAAGCGUGAGUGACGGUAAUGGGUAAAGAAGCACCGGCUAACUACGUG